AACGAACGCUGGCGGCAGGCCUAACACAUGCAAGUCGAGCGAGGACUUCGGUCCUAGCGGCGGACGGGUGAGUAACGCGUGGGAACGUGCCCUUUGCUACGGAAUAGCCCCGGGAAACUGGGAGUAAUACCGUAUGUGCCCGAGAGGGGAAAGAUUUAUCGGCAAAGGAUCGGCCCGCGUUGGAUUAGGUAGUUGGUGGGGUAAUGGCCUACCAAGCCGACGAUCCAUAGCUGGUUUGAGAGGAUGAUCAGCCACACUGGGACUGAGACACGGCCCAGACUCCAACGGGAGGCAGCAGUGGGGAAUCUUGGACAAUGGGGGAAACCCUGAUCUAGCCAUGCCGCGUGAGCGAUGAAGGCCUUAGGGUUGUAAAGCUCUUUCAGUGGGGAAGAUAAUGACGGUACCCACAGAAGAAGCCCCGGCUAACUCCGUGCAGCCGCCGCCGUAACAC
rnacentral:rRNA from 1 species